AAAUCGAGAACAAAAUAGUUUCUUAUUUUCACUUAGGACCAUUUUAUAUGCUUGUCUCGAAAUAAUUUUCUUCGUCAUCAUGAACGUUUUGUUCCGGAAUCUUUGCUAUCCGUUUCAAUUUCGAUUAUCCGUUUUUAUACUGGACACUCAACAUAAAGUAUGAGAUAAUUGCAGCUUCUAGUUUUCCGGGCGCAAAAUCUACAAUACGCAACAUUGGCGAUUACCAGCGUAUCAAGAGGUUUGGCGAGAACUACGGAGUUGUUUACCAGGUGAAGGACCCAACAACACUCAAAAGUAUGUUGCACUCAAACGGAUUAUGCUGUACAGCCGCCGUCCGGGAGAUAUUCCUAUUGAAAGACCUACAGCAUCUCUCGAAUGUUGAGCAGUUCGACGUAGCCGUCUUGGAUUCGAGCAUCUACAUGAUCUUCGGAAUAUUUGAAAAUGGACCUGAAAAAGAUGCUGAAUAAGUACAAACCGUCAUUCAUGCCUGAACUUAGCAAAAGCAACCUGCAUCAAAUGUUGGAUGCGACAGCCUUCUGUCACAUUGGAUUUGACAUCGAGAAUUCAUUAGUGGGUCGUGACGGUCAUGUAAAGCUAACCAGGAAAAUGAUCCUAAUGCGAUAAAUGUUUCUAGGGGCACUCCUGAUUUAAGCAACUGACCCAGUGUUUUGCAACUACCAGAUUACCAAUAAACGUUUACCAGCUGUAGUGGUCAACCAGUGCCAGGAGAUCGUACAGUACAAAGCGCAGGAUUUAUUCCGACAGCUGAUGGUUUACGUUUCUACCAAGAAAAUCGCUAUGAUGCGCGAUUGUACCGCCUUAUUUCGACGAUGUGGGCUGAUUGCGCCGGUAAUACAGCAUCUUUUCGUGGAAUAGGCUGACAAUUGGUUUAACCUUUAAGGGCGAUUCAUACGAUAGGUCAGCUUCCAUCAACGGAAUAGAAAGUGCUUUAUUCUAAAAGAAAAUAUGUGCCCUUUUUUAAGUUUGGCCGUUUUCACUGAAAUGUCAGACGUAAGGUUGCCACUCAGUAAGUCCAUCCGGACUUAUGGCUAGUUAGUAUUCCGGCUCCAGUGACCUAACCGAUUAACCCUUAAAUGCGCAAUGUUGUUUUAAAACAACAUUGCGAAAACCAUCUCAAAAUUAUCAUAGUAACGUAUUAAAUCUGUCAGACAAUUUUCAGAAAAUUUGAAAAAAAUUGCUUUGCGCCUUUAAGGGUUAAAACUAGAAUCGGUUGUGCCACUGUAGUCGAAAUACUAGCUAGGACCAGCUGUAAUUCCUGCAACUUUACUGGACACCAGAGUGGCAGCUAAGAUGGAGCACAUACUGAUAAAAAUCCGACUAAUUUUUUAUUUAAAAUAUAAACGGAUAAACGGUAUCAAAGCAUACAAACGUUUAUAUCACAGACUAACAGACAUAACACUAUGAGGGAAUUCCCUCAAAAAACAUCGAUCCGACAAUUUUCCCAGAACACUAGCUCCACCUUUUAUUCACAGUCCCAUACACUCAUUUACUGGUGGGUUAUCCCUCAGGUUUGGGAAUAAUUUUUCACUAGUGAUCUAUCCCCCAUAUGCUUGUUCAUAUGUCAGUGGCGCCAUAAUUUCAAAUGUGGCCACAGUCCCAACUAUAAAUAUAUUUAAAAUGAACCUUAAAGCGGGCGAAGCUUUGUUUUUGAGUGUUAUGUCUGUUAGUCUGUGUUUAUAUGCCAACUACAUAUGAUUGUUAUAUGUGCAUUAGUUAUGAAAUCAAUAUGAGAUUAAUAUUUCUUGUAGAUUUACGCAUCAGAUGCGCAUGUCAGCAAUAUUUAUAUGCCACCUAGCGGUGCAAAAAUCUUUGUGUUAAUUUUAAGACAUUUCUAGUAUGCUUUUAUCAGAUAUUGUGAACUCAAAGUCGUAAGCAAAACACGAAUCUGUAAUUGCAUGUAAUAGCUAUAGUGAUCUAUGUAUUACAAUUUUCAUUCAAUCAUAAAUACAAUUUACUGUAGGGCAUACUAGAAAAAUAAAAUACUUCAGCUUAAUUUUAUUAUUCAUAAUACAGCCACAGAGCUGUGAUACAGCUUUAUUCUACGUUACAACGGAUCUCUUUUUUGAACAAAUGUGGUUCAAUCCAUGUAGGCUCCCGUUUAAUUUUGCUGUCGUUCUUCAGAAUGCAAAUCACAUUCGUUCGAAAAAGCGGUCUGUAAUGCAGAAUAAAGGACGAUUCAGACGAUACAUCAGCUUCCAUCAAUGCAACGGAACGUCAAGAUUAGUUACAUGCAGUUAAAUGGAAGCAUCCACACAACAUCAAUGCCACGGAACAUUUUGAUGUACGGCACAUGUGAACCGGCACAAGAGAAAAGUAUAAAACUUAUCCUGACGGUACGGUGAUGUUUCGUUGACGUUGACGGAAGCUGAUGUACCGUCUGAAUCGGGCUGCAAUGUACCUAGACAAGCGUCACCUUGAUGCAACCGUGAUAUAACCGGACUACCAACUCGGUUCAGCCUUUUCGUAUUUACGUCCAGCAAUUGUCAUGUCACACUUGCUCCGCAUGGUACUUUUCCUAGUGAUUCAACAUAGUCAAUCGUUAUUAGCUUGACUGAGUCGACAUUUGUUAUUCUUAAUCGAGAUGUUCUCCUUGCGCAGGAUCUAUUACUUAGAUGCUAUGCUUAGAUCAAGUCAAAUCGAAUGUGAUCUCAAUCUGUGGAACAAUUAUUAGAGCAGCUGGGAUACUCAACAGACGAAACUAUCCCAAAUGAUUGUUUAUUUGUUUAUUUGUUGUACCGUCACCAACAGACCCCUUGGCCCCAAUGGUGGUUAAUGUGGAUUGUUGUCAUGAGAUUGCUCGUUCUCGAACAUAGGAUUCGACAAUUCCGUUUGAUUGGUUGUCAUCACACCUCCCGCGGUUUCAAUUCCCAACGAAAGUGGAGCCAGUGUGAAUUUGCGUUUAAUUUUCUCUAUGAAGUGUUAAUAUGCGAAAAUCAAAAUUUUCUUCUCCCAGAUGAGUAUCUCUAGCAAUUCUGGCUAGUUAGUAUCCGGCUCUACUGAAACAUGAUUUUAAUUAGAAUCGGUUGACACUGGAACCGGAGUUAGAGCCAGCCAAAAUUCCGACUGAACUUACUGGUUAAGAUAGAAACGUGUUCGAAAGUUCCGUUCUUUGAGGUUAGGCUUGCAUGUUUGUGUCGUCUAAUUUGCGUCUAAUCGAUCGCUUAGCUAAGUUUUGUCGGUUCAUCGCAACCUGAAUCUUUGCAGCACCGCCAAUCAUCCACUCCGUGUCAAAAAACAUUACAUAGUUGGGUGUUUUCCGGUUGCCUUGCUUGUUGGAAAUUACUUUGUUGACAAAAAGUAACAUUUGACAGAUCAAGGUUCACUCAGCUCAUUAAUGAAUGUGAUAUUAAGCUCUACAAGAUGACGACACGAAUUAACUCAUGAUGAAUAAAGUUCAUGUUUGACAAUUCUCGGUGGUUUGUUUACCUUUUCAGUUGCGUGAGUGCGACUGCAACGGGUGCUCAUCUAUUACAUUCGAACUCACGUAGCUUCCAUGUAAACAAACCACCGAGAAUUGUCAAACGAAGUUCAUCCAGCUCAUUUUGUAAGGGGCCCGUACACGAGGCGUUAGUAAUGUCAUUACUGAGCAGUAAUGCCACUUUUAAUGAACGUGUAAGGCGAGUAAUGAUGGAAUUCCCAUACAAUUCCAGUAAUGACACUACUUAGUAAUGACACUUUUAUUGCUCGUGUAAGGGCUCCUGUAGGGGUAUGUCGGUUGGUGUAAAACCUAAUUGAGUUCUACAAGAUGACGACACGAAUGAACUCAUAAUGAAUGAAGUUCAUGUUUGACAAUUCUCGGUGGUUUGUUUACUUUGUCAGAUGCGUGAGUGCGAGCGCAACGGUUGCUCAUCUGUUACAUUCGAACUCACGUAACUUCCAUGUAAACAAACCACCGAGAAUUGUCAAAAGAAGUUCAUCCGGCUCAUUUUGCGGGGUUAUGUCGGUUGGUGUAAAACCUAAUUAGGACUCACACACUUCAUUUACAGUGUUGCCGAUAAAAUAAUAGAAAAAAUACAAAACAGUGCUGACGAAACGAAUAUUUCGCGUCUCACCAUUCUUGAUUUGAUGAAAAAAAUAUUCAACAUUCUUGCAUUUUGCAAUUUUUAAAUUAUCAUAAAAAAACAGGAAAUGUGCUAGAAACCUCAUUUAAACGGAAAGGUUUAUAAAAAUAUGACAUCUUUCGAUAAAAAAUAAGAAAUAGGGGGUUAGGCGGGUUAGGUCGACGAGAAAGGUCUAUUAAAAUAUUGACUGUUUUAAUACAUCAAUACCAAUUAAAUUCUACAGCGUCAAUAUUUUAGAACCCUUACACCGUUAAUAUAUUGGCAAUUUGCGGCAAAACCAAAAUUAGUCAUGCGACACCUAUGAUUCAGCUCAUGAACUGGCAAAGUGAUACAGUUUGCUUUUUUCACCCGCAAGUGAGUCGUAGCUUACUACUAAAACUUCAUUUUCUUUUCGGAAAAAGCUUACCCCUGCCAAAAUAUGAAUGAAACGAGUAAGAAAUUUAUUUGCAACUAUUCUGAAAUAACAGCCAUUUGCAACUAUUUGGGUCAUACAUUUCUUCGAAAUGUAAUCGGGGUAUUAUUGUGGUUAUAAAAAAUCGUUCUGUAAAUAGAGUUCCAACUCGAAACCGAGACCCAAUCAGUUCCAAUGCCAAACUCCUUCAUAUUUUGGACUACGUAGGAGAUUCAGUGAAGACUAUCAGAGAGAAGGAUCGGCUGUGUAUGAUACAAAGCUCCUAUUAGCCGGAUAUAUUUUUCCUCACGUGAUCUGGAGAGUUUCAUGAAUUUACACCAUCUCAUAAAGGUUUAGCUUAACUUAAGAGGAACGGGAAAUGAUGUUGCGGCGGCUACGGUGCUCAACAAAUUACAUUUCGGAACAGCACACAUAUAGCUUUGUGAAUAAUAUUAGAAAUCACCAUGUUUUACACUCUUUUCGCAAGAUGUUUACUCUUCAUCUUAUAAAAUGAUGGUUUUCCUUCAUUUUCAUAAACAAUUAUCAACAAAUUGCUCGGUGAUUUGGUGUUUAAAAGUUAUUUUUUACCAAUGUUUACAGAAAAUAUAUGCACUAUGACAGAACAGAAUGAAAUCAGCAACACUUUGCUUCCUGCGCUAUCUGUGAGCUGUUUCAACGUAGAAUCGCCAAUUGGUCACCCAGUGCAAUUGUUGUCGUGCGAAUCGGUCUCGAAAAUUUUGAUGGUUCUAUCUACUCCAUUAGAACGAAAAAGAUAGCACGAUGAGCUUCUUUGCCAUCUCGUUCAUGCAUCUUUCGAAUAUGCGCUUCAUUUCUACAUAACCUCAUUAUAAACAAAAAAUACAAAGUAGCAUUCAUGAUUCAGUUCGGUCAGGUCUUCGGGUGUUUGUCUUUUUUCUCGUUUUUCACCAAGUACGCUCGUUUUUCACUAAGACUAAAGAAAAUAGUUUUUCAGCGUGUGAAAAUUCAUUGUAGUUGGUAAAAUAUUGCACAAAACCAACAAUAUACGUUUUUGUUUCGAUGGAGACUGCGAAGUUUUCAACUUUAUAGAUUCGGGGCGGAGUUGCAUUUGCUAUUGUUAAGCCUUACUACAUUAAAGCGUACAUAAACAGACCGCUGGAUGGCAAAACAAAAGUAUCAGCGGGAUAAAUUCACAUUUUUCGAGAAGCUAACGAACGUAUCAUCGGAGGAUAUUCCACAGGACACCAUGCGGGAAAAAAGAAAUGAACCACAACGGCAGCCGAUACACGUCGUUCGCCUUUGCUAGUGGAGGGAUCGCUGGCAGCGGCGGUGCCCGAGGGGAACUGAGCAGUGGAAAUUUGAGCAGAAAGCUGAGUAGUCCGAUGGCAGAGUCGACACAGCUGGACAGCAGCGGUAUCCGGGGGAAUCUUUACGGUAGUCCGGUAGGACAGGUUGGAGUUGGGAAAAGAAGCCUACCUCUCCGUUGCAAAAUAGCAGGACAAAUUUUAGAAGCAGCUGAAUGACGUCCGGGUCCAGUGUGGAUCGAUUGAGUGAUCCUAAGAUUUACACGGAGAGGAGGAUUGGUUAACCGAUUGGUAAAGUACCACGACAAAACGCAAUCGCCGUUAAAUAAGAGUCAAUCGAUGACUAGCCUGUACUCGAAGCCGGGUCAAUUUCAUAUGUGGUGGAGUCCGUGUUUCAGGCUGACACAAGGUGGAACGGGAGGGAGCGUUGCUCAUUCCGGCGGAACCUCAUCUGAAGAUGAUCCGAACACAUAGACACGAGGAUGAGAUUGAUGCGGAAAAUAGUGUGAUUGCGCCUUCGACAGAACUGGAUGCCGAUUGGAUUAAGAAACCAUGUAAGGAACUAUCGGAGGUUGAUUCAGGCGAAGCUGGUACAAAGCAAGCUCGGGAAAUUACAUACACGGCUUCGCCCCCGUGUCGAGGGUCGGCGAAUCAGCAGCUGCAGACGAAGAAAUUAUGUAGUAAAGCCUCGAGCCUGGUGAUGAACACUCCGAAAGUGGAACGCGUAGCGCCCCGACCGGCACGAUUAAAUGUGGAUGUCUUUCUCGACACCGGCAACAUUGAAUGCGACGGUUCCAUUUAGCAUGAUUGAAUCGAGCAAACCGGCAAAAUUAAGUAGAAUUGAUUCCGCUCCUUUGCCACAGAUUACGAGAAUUGUUCCGGAGUUUCAACCGCCUCUGAUGGAAUAUCCGCCACUAAAGCUAACGUUGUUUAACAAGAAAUAUAACGUCCUGGCGCUAAUAAAAAUUUUAAAGCA